GUGGAGGACUUUCGGUGGAGGAACCAAACUGAUCAUCACCGGUCCCACGGUGAAGCCCUCCGUGUCUCUGCUCCCUCCCUCCUCUCUGCAGCCGUCUGACAGAUCGGCCUCGCUGCUCUGCCUGCUGUCUGCCUACUCUCCACAGGGGGCGCUGGUGAGCUGGACGGUGGACGGCUCAGAGGUGAAGGACGGGGUUCUGACCAGCCCAGAAGAACACAAGAAGGACGGUUACACACGCAGCAGCACCCUGACCCUCAGCAAAGAACUCUGGGAAAAGGGGGAGGAGUUUGUCUGUACCGUCUCCCAUGGUGGUGUCCAUCAUCCGCUCACGUUCAGAAAGAGCCAGUGUUAAGACCAACAGCUCCAAGAUAGAAUUGAACACUGAGCUGCUCACAUCCAUCUACAAUCGAGUUUCAAUUCUACACAAUGCUGACAUUUCUGUCUUUCCUCUCUUCACUGUCCUGUUGCUCUUCCUGUAGUUUUGCUCUGCUGAAAUAAAGCUUCAUUUUGGA